AGUACGGCGAGUGAACCGGGAUGAGCUCAAAUUUAAAAUCUGGCGUCUUUCAGGCGUCCGAGUUGUAAUCUAUAGAGGCGUUUUCCGCGCCGGACCGCGUCCAAGUCUCUUGGAAUAGAGUAUCAAAGAGGGUGACAAUCCCGUACUUGACGCGACAACCGGUGCUCUGUGAUACGUUCUCAAUGAGUCGAGUUGUUUGGGAAUGCAGCUCUAAAUGGGUGGUAAAUUCCAUCUAAGGCUAAAUAUUGGCGAGAGACCGAUAGCGAACAAGUACCGUGAGGGAAAGAUGAAAAGCACUUUGGAAAGAGAGUUAAACAGCACGUGAAAUUGUUAAAAGGGAAACGAUUGAAGUCAGUCGUGUGAAAGGUAUUCAGCCGUCUCUGGCGGUGUAUUUGCCUUUCACGGGUCAACAUCAGUUUGAUCCGGUAGAAAAAGGCGGGAGGAAGGUGGCACCCUCGGGUGUGUUAUAGCCUCCUGUCAUAUGUGCCGGACCAGACUGAGGAACGCAGCUUGCCGCAAGGCCGGGGUUCGCCCACGUACAAGCUUAGGAUGUUGACAUAAUGGCUUUAAACGACCCGUC
rnacentral:rRNA from 1 species